AGACAAACUAAAUUUCUUAUCACCCAAAACUAAAUUCAGGAAAUAAAAUACAAUAACUAGCUUAAACUCCAUAAACCAAAAACAGGAUAAAAAUGUGAAGAGAAAAGAGCCACCCUCCCCUACCCGAAAAUUAGGACUGUUUUACUAAACAACUAUUAUUUAUAAACAUACA